rnacentral:rRNA from 1 species
CCAGACUCCUACGUUAUUCAGCAUUUUUGAAUAUUUCACAAUUUUUUAAACCCUGAUUCAUCUACUCCUCGUGAUUUAAUAAUUAUUUCGUUAUGUAAAGCUCUAUCAGCAUGUAAGAAAUAGCUACCUUUUUUUCGCCAGACGGUACCUAAUUAAGAAGCCCCGGCUAACUACGUGCCAGCAGCCGCGUUAAUACGUAGGGGGCAAGCGUUAUCCGGUUUUACUGGGUGUAAAGGGAGCGUAGACGGCAGCGCAAGUCUGAAGUGAAAUGCCGGGGCUUAACCCCGGAACUGCUUUGGAAACUGUGCAGCUAGAGUGCAGGAGAGGUAAGUGGAAUUCCUAGUGUAGCGGUGAAAUGCGUAGAUAUUAGGAGGAACACCAGUGGAGAAGGCGGCUUACUGGACUGUAACUGACGUUGAGGCUCGAAAGCGUGGGGAGCAAAAAGGAUUAGAUACCCCGGUA